rnacentral:rRNA from 1 species
GAUCAUGGCUCAGGACGAACGCUGGCGGCGUGCUUAACACAUGCAAGUCGAACGAGAAUCUGCGGAACGAGGAUUCGUCCAAGUGAAGCAGAGGACAGUGGCGGACGGGUGAGUAACGCGUGAGGAACCUGCCUUCCAGAGGGGGGACAACAGUUGGAAACGACUGCUAAUACCGCAUAACACAUAGGUGUCGCAUGGCACUGAUGUCAAAGAUUUAUCGCUGAAAGA